AGAGUUUGAUUCUGGCUCAGGAUGAACGCUGGCGGCGUGCCUAAUACAUGCAAGUCGUGCGGGUAGCUUGCUACCCAGCGGCGAACGGGUGAGUAACACGUAGGUAACCUGCCUUUAAGACUGGGAUACCCAGAGGAAACUUUGGCUAAUACCGGAUAACAACGGGAGCGGCAUCGCUCCCGCUUGAAAGUCGCGUUUGCGGCACUUUUAGAUGGACCUGCGGAACAUUAGCUAGUUGGUGAGAUAACAGCCCACCAAGGCGAGGAUGUUUAGCCGACCUGAGAGGGUGAACGGCCACAAUGGGACUGAGACACGGCCCAUACUCCUACGGGAGGCAGCAGUAGGGAGUUUUCGGCAAUGGGGGCAACCCUGACCGAGCAACGCCGCGUGAGUGAAUUAAGGUCUUCGGAUUGUAAAGCUCUGUUGUAAGGGAAGAAUGCUUGCUUCAGGAAAUGGGAGCGAGAGUGACGGUACCUUACCAGAAAGGGACGGCUAACUACGUGCCAGCCGCUGC
rnacentral:rRNA from 1 species